AACGCGAAGAACCUUACCUGGGUUUGACAUCCCAUGAAAAAGCGCAGAGAUGCGUAAUAGUCGCAAGACACAUGGAGACAGGUGCUGCAUGGCUGUCGUCAGCUCGUGUCGUGAGAUGUUGGGUUAAGUCCCGCAACGAGCGCAACCCUUUUCCUUAUUUGCCAGCAUUAAGUUGGGCACUCUAGGGGUACUGCCGAUGAUAAAUCGGAGGAAGGUGGGGACGAGGUCAAGUCCUCAUGGCCUUUAUGUCCAGGGCUACACACGUGCUACAAUGGCCGGUACAAACCGUCGCAAACCCGCGAGGGGGAGCUAAUCGGAAAAAGCCGUCCUCAGUUCGGAUCGCAGUCUGCAACUCGACUGCGUGAAGCUGGAAUCGCUAGUAAUCGCGGAUCAGAACGCCGCGGUGAAUACGUUCCCGGGCCUUGUACACACCGGCUAC
rnacentral:rRNA from 1 species